ensembl:lncRNA
AACAAAUGCAGAAAAAGCAUUAGAUAAAGUUCACUUCUAUUAAGAAUGAAAAUAAAGGCAUAAAUGGACUUUUUUUUUUUAUUUAAUAGCCUUUUAUUUACAGGUUAUAUGCAUUGGUAACUUUACAGCAUUAACAAUUGCCAAACCUCUUGUUCCAAUUUUUCACCUCUUACCCCUCACUCCCUCCCCUAGAUGGCAGGAUGACCAGUAGAUGUUAAAUACAUUAAAAUAUAAAUUAGAUACACAAUAAAUAUACAUGACCAAAACGUUAUUUUGCUGUACAAAAAGAAUCAGACUCUGAAAUCUUGUACAAUUAGCUUGUGAAGGAAAUCAAAAAUGCAGGUGAGCAUAAAUAUAGGGAUUGGGAAUUCAAUGUAAUGGUUUUUAGUCAUCUCCCAGAGUUCUUUCUCUGGGCGUAGCUGGUUCAGUUCAUUACUGCACUUUUUCUUAAGUUGAUAAGAGGCAUUUACCUAAAACCAUUAGCAAGCAUUAUUUGUGUAGAGAUAAACUAGAAACCUUCCCAGUAAGACCUGUUGUGAACAAAGAUACCCAUUGUCACCAAUAUUAUUCAAUAUUGUACUGGAAAUUCUAGCAAUAGCAAUAAAAAGAAAAAUAAAAGGAAUAAGAAUAGGGAAUGAGAUAAUAAAACUUUCUUGCGGAUGAUAUGAUAAUAUACUUGAAAAAUCCUAAAGACUCAACUAAAAUUUAAUUGAAAUAAUAAUUUCAGCAAAGUAGCAGAAUGUAAAGUAAACCCACAUAAAUUAACAGCAUUCCUAUACAUCACCAACAGGAUUCUGCAGCAAGAGGUAGCUAGAUAAUAUUCCAUUUUAAAAUAACCAGACAGUACAAAGUGCCUGGGAAUACAUCUAUCAAAAAUCCAGGAUCUAUAUGAACAAAACCAUAAAAAGCUUUUUGCACAAACGAAAUCAGAUUUCAAUAAAUGGACAAAUAUUAAUUGUUCAUGGAUAUACAGAGCCAAUAUGAUAAAAAUGAUAAUUUUACCAAAAAUUAAUCUAUAUAUUCAAUGCUAUCCCAAUUAAAUUAUCAAAAAGUUAUUUCAUGGAGCUAGAGAAAUUAAUAAAAUUCACUUGGAAGAACAAGAGGUUAAGAAUAUCAAAAGAUAUGAGGUAGAAAUGUAAAGGAAGGAAGUUUAGAAGUACCAGAUCAUAAAUUAUAAGGCAGUAAUUAUCAAAACUAUCUGGUACUGGCUAAGAAAAGGAAAGAUAGAUUAGUAGAAGAGAAUAGGCACAUAGUCUAUAGCAGCAAAAGAAUAUAGUAACUCUGUAUUUGACAAGUGUAAAAUCUUAAGUUUUUGGAAUAAGAAUUCAUUAUUUGGUAAAAAUUUUUGGGAAAGCUAGGAAGCAGUUUGGCAGAAGUUAAGCAUAGAACAAUAUCUUGCAUCAUUUACUAAGAUAAAGCCAAAUUAAAGGGAAAUAUUAGAAGAAAAUUUGAAGAACUUGGAACGUAUUACCUCUCAAUCAGACUUAUGAAUAGAUCAAUGAUUUAUGAACAAACAAGAGAUAGAAAGUAUUGUGAGAUGUAAAUUAAAUAAUUUUGCUUAUAUUGUUAAAAAUGUUUUGUACAAAUUAAAUGUAGCCAAGCUCAGAAGGAAAAUGGAAAACUCGGGUUGGGGGGUGCAGGGAGCAGGAAUUUAUAGACAGUGCCUCAGAUAAAUGUGUCGUUUCUCAAUUUCAUGAAAAACUUUGGGGAAUAUGAAUCAUUUCCCAAUUGAUAAAUGGUCAAAAGAUAUGAACAAGCAACUUUCUGAUAAAAUAAAAAACAAUUUAGUCACAUAAAAAUGCUCUAAAUCAUUAUUGAUUAGAGAAAUGCAAAUUAAAACAACCUUGAAAUACCAUUUUACACCUAUCAGAUUGGCUAAAAUGAUAGAAGGGGAAAGUUACAAGUAUUGGAAGGGAUAUGGAAAAACUGGGACUUCAAUUCAUUGUCGAUGGAUCUGUGUGCUGAUCCAACCAUUUUCGAGAAAGAUUUUGAAUUUUGAGAAAGAACUGAGUUAUUAAACUGCCUAUCUUUGAUCCAAACAUACAACUAUAAAGUCUUAUUUUUCAAAUUGAUUAGGGAAAAUGGAAAAGAGCCUACAUGUUCUAAAAUGUUUCCAGCAGCUUUCUUUGUGGUGAUAAAUAACUAGAGAUUGUAGGGAUGGCAGCCAAUCGGGCAAUGAAAUUAUGGUAUAUUUGUGAUGGAAUAUUACUUUGCUAUAACAAAUGAUGAGCUCAAUGAUUUUAGAAAAGCAUGGACAAAUCUACAUAAAAUAAUCAAGUGAAAUGAGCAGAAACAAGAGUAUUAUUUUAAAAACAACUUUGAACAAUCAAAUCAUUCUGACUAAAUACCCAAAUUAACUGCAAAGAUCCUAUGAAGGAAGGUGCUGUUUGAAUCCAGAAAAAAGAAGUAUAUGUAUAUAUAGUGUGUGUGUGUGUGUGUGUGUGUGUUUAUGUAUGUAUAUGUAUAUGCAUAUGUGUGUGUUACCUAUAUAUGCCUACACAUUUGUGUCUAAUGGAAACUAUCUCAAAGUUUAGAAUGGGGGAAGAGAAAAAAAUAUAGAAAGUCAUAUACUUUCUUGUAUAUUUGAAAGGAGUAGCAAGUUGUAAAAUGGAUCUGCAAUUUCAGGUGCAAUCCUCUGUUUUUGUAUCCCACUUUGUUAUGGAAAUGUUUGUUUAUUUCUUAAGUUCAGAAU